rnacentral:lncRNA from 1 species
GAUCUUACUUUCAUAUAUUUUGCCCUAGUCAUGAAGGAUAUUGUUACCAACUUGAGGAGACUGUUGGACACUGACUCUUUCUAGGAAAAAGCUUUUAAGAUCUAAAGUAAAUUUUAUUUUCCAAAAUUUAUAUUCAACCUUGUUCCUAAUUAUACUUGCACUAGAGAUAUUUCAACGGGCCAACUUAAAAUAGCACUGAAUAGGUUCAAGUAUAGUAUGGUCUUAUUCUGUUUUUGCUUUCUAGCUUCUGGAGAAAAUAAAUGGAUAAUAAUUGAAAUAUGGAAAAAUAGAUUGGUAUUUUUAAGUCUUCUGCUGUGACCAAACACAAGAUUACUAAAUUUUUCCUGGCAGAUUUCUGCUUCACUCUUCUGCUAAUUCUGUCUUUUACAGUUGCUUCUUGCUUCUUUUUCUUGUCUUGUGUUCAAGCUAUAAAUGGAGCUUUUUAUAAACCAGCAGUUACAGUAGAAUGGCCCUGUGUUGCUGUGGUUAUCAGGUGAACGGACCCAGGUAGAAGGAGAGGUACGUUCUUCCCAGAAUAGUACUUUGCCGUGCUCAUCAUUACCAUCACAGUGACUAUCUUUAGUAGGAACUUACCUGAUAAAUCCUUUAUUCAGCACUUGUUUUGCAUUAUCUGUUUUUAUUUUUUAUUAUAACCCUAUGAGAGCAGUAAUGUUCUUCUUGGCUAUCAAAUUUGUGAUAUUAUAAGGUUGCAAAAUUCAGUAAACAAAUGCAAGUAUUAUUUACAUCAUCAAUAUUAUUUAUCCUUUCUUUUGCUCCUCUUUGCCCAUGUACUUUAUCUGGAAAACAUUUUAAAUGAGCACCUUUGAUAAUUACAUUGUUGGUGGGCAUGGUGGCGCAGGAGGCUGAGGCAGGAGGAUCGCAAGUUCAAGCCAACUUCAACAAAUUAGCGAGGCCCUAAACAACAUAGUAAGACCCUGUCUCUCAAUUUAAAAAGGCUAAGACAUGUGCCCCAGUGGUUGCAUGCCACUGGGUUCAAUCCCUGCUACAAACAAAC